GGAAGGCUGGCAGAGCGGCCUGUUGACACUGUUUCGAAAACAGAUGGUCGGGUCCGCCGGCACGAGCGUUCGAAUCGCUCCGCAUCCGCCA
rnacentral:tRNA from 1 species